rnacentral:rRNA from 1 species
AGAGUUUGAUCAUGGCUCAGAACGAACGCUGGCGGCGUGCCUAACACAUGCAAGUCGAACGAGAAAGCUUCCUUCGGGAAGCGAAUAGAGUGGCGCAAGGGUGAGUAACACGUGAGUAAUCUGCCCUCGGGUAGGGGAUAACCCGCCGAAAGGCGGGCUAAUACCGGAUAACGGCUUUGGACCUCGGUCUUAAAGCUCAAAGCUGGCCUCUGAUUAAGCUAUCGCCUGAGGAUGAGCUCGCGUACCAUUAGCUUGUUGGCGGGGUAACGGCCCACCAAGGCUGCGAUGGUUAGCUGGUUUGAGAGGAUGAUCAGUCACACUGGCACUGAGACACGGGCCAGACUCCUACGGGAGGCAGCAGUGAGGAAUAUUGCGCAAUGGGGGAAACCCUGACGCAGCAACGCCGCGUGAAGGAUGAAGGUUUUCGGACUGUAAACUUCUGUCAAGUGAGAAGAAUCCCUGGAGGGCCAAUACCCCUUCAGGUUGACGGUACCAUUAGAGGAAGCCCCGGCUAACUCUGUGCCAGCAGCCGCGGUAAUACAGAGGGGGCAAGCGUUGUUCGGAAUUAUUGGGCGUAAAGGGCGUGUAGGCGGCUGGCUAAGUCAGAAGUGAAAUCCCACGGCUCAACCGUGGAACUGCUUUUGAAACUGACCGGCUUGAGUUCGGGAGAGGAAAACGGAAUUCCCAGUGUAGCGGUGAAAUGCGUAGAUAUUGGGAAGAACACCAGAGGCGAAGGCGGUUUUCUGGACCGAAACUGACGCUGAAACGCGAAAGCCAGGGGAGCGAACGGGAUUAGAUACCCUGGUAGUCCACGCCGUAAACGAUGUCAACUAGCUGUCUGUAGACUUGAUCUGUGGGUAGCGAAGCUAACGCAAUAAGUAGACCGCCUGGGGAGUACGGUCGCAAGAUUAAAACUCAAAGGAAUUGACGG